CCAGCAGCCGCGGUAAUUCCAGCUCCGCAAGUGUAUUCCUAUACUGUUGCGUUUAAAUAGCUCGUAGUUGGAUCUGCGUGUUUAGCGCGCGGUGCUGUUACUCAAUAGCUACUGCGACGCGACACUUCAGGCCAGUCGACGGUGCUCUCUUUACGGGGGUGCAGUUGCUGGCGAGUUUACUUUGAACAAAUCAGAGUGCUCAAAACGGGCGUUUCGCUCGAAUGUUCUUGCAUGGAAUAAUGGAAUAGGACCUGGCGUUCUAUUUUGUUGGUUUUCGGGACGUGGGUAAUGAUUAAGAGGGACAGACGGGGGCAUUUGUACUGCGACGUGAGAGGUGAAAUUCU
rnacentral:rRNA from 1 species